rnacentral:tRNA from 1 species
GGGGAUUUAGCUCAGUGGCAUAAGCACCUGCCUUGCAAGCAGGAGGUUGUAAGUUCGAUCCCCAGUACCUA